AUAGAAGACUAAACUGUUGGCCGAAGGUGACUCAGGGGAGGAAGAGAGAGGAAAAAGUCAUGAAAACCCCUUGAAAGAACAGGUUUGGAAUCAGGGAUUGAGAAGACAAGCAUUUUCAUCUCUGAGUAAGCCAUGCAGGAAGCUCUUCACACCAAAAUUACUUCUUGGCGCUUGCUCUCCAUGUGAUUGUCAAAAUGAAGCCUCUGAUUUUGUCACAGUCUGAUAUCUGCACCAGAUCCUCUGUUGCUGUCUAUAGCAUUUCCCUGGAGGCUGCUGUCUGAGUGACAAACAAGUGAAGGGACAAGAUGCAUCUGAAAAGAACAAAAGCUCCCAGAAAACCCUGGAGGGCCUUUCCACUGCUGCAGAGAAGUACCCUCCAGGAGUCAAAAGGAAACCUCUGAACACCCAAACAGAAGUGCCCUCUGAGGCUUUCAAACCAAGCAAGGCAUCCAUCCCUUAAAUUUAAGGCUCCCUUUAACCCCAUUUGAUUUGGUGUUACAAGCCUGAGGGCUCUUUGUGCUCCAGCCAUCAGAAGGCAUGUGGCCUGGAGCAGUCUCCACUUCCCUAGUGAGGGAAACACAGGGGGUCCUUUUUCCCAGGACAUCCCAAGCAGCUUUGUCCAAGGGAGCCUUUUCAACCGACUUUGAUUGUUUCAGGUCCAAAUUCAAUGCGGCACUCAAACAGGGUACCAGAGAUUUAUGUGUGUGUUGGAAGUCCUACAGAGGUCAGGAGAACAACAACAUUCAGUUCAGAUGCCUAAGCAAGAAUUCAGUAUGAUUGGUUUUGCAAAGAACCAUACUUGUUGGCUUUGAGACCAAGCUGAGUUUCUGAGAUUGAAGCCACACUCUGAUAUUAAAGUUCUGCAUAUUUGUUUUGUUUUGUUUUGUUUUUAAAAAAUAAAAUUUCAAACUCCAGCAAGAAAGAAAUUCUGGAAAGGGUGUGCUGAACUGGCUUGCCUCGCUUGUGCAAAUGGCCAGGACACUGUUCCUCCUAGUUGCUUUUUCUCAGGAGGUCAUGUUUUCACCUUUUUCCCAGAAAAUCUACAGCAAUCUUGCAGCUUAGUGCAUCUUGCUGUUGGGGCAUAGGUUUCCUAAUAACCACUUUUUUUUUUUUUCCUACCCUUCUGUAUCUUCUGUUCUCAUUGACCUGUUGUUAGUAAUAUUAUUGCCACUCUGAAACACUGUAAAAAACCUCCUCUGACUACCUGAAGCUGAAGAAGGAGAGUGAGACAGAAAUGGGUCCCAGGCUAUGGUGCAGGUGCCUCUGCAGAAGAGUCUCAGGCUGCUCUGCUGCACAUGGGGGGCUGCCUCAGUCCCUUGACCUUUUACGAACGAAGGCUCCCACAGCUUUUGACUCACAGAGGCCUGAGCAGUGUUGUACUGUUGUGUUGGGUCGUGUGAGGACAGUCCACACGAUCAUGCCACCACUGUGCAGAAUGCUCUUCAGCAGGGAUCCUUUGAAGCUGCUGCCCUGCAGGGUGUCACUGCCCCGCUGCAGCUCAGUGCCACAGCCACCCUCCCACCGAAGGAUGCUGCAGACUGUACAAUGGGGGGUCCUGGGGUGGCAAAGAGGCCAAAACAGUGUGAGAGAGACAUCAGCUGUGCAGAUCAGCACAUGGCAUAUGUGGCUUGGCAGAGCUGCAGAGUCCAGGAACCACACUGUAUUGCAUCUGGUUGAGGACUCAUAAUGCUGUGCUUUGUACUAGUAGCUAGAAAGGUGGUGAUAACACAACAGUGCUUUGGCUGCUGCUGAGCAGUGCUCACACAGCAUCAAGGCUGGCUCUCUAACAUUGCCUACCCCGUCACCGGUAGGUUGGGGUGGGCAAGAUCUUAGGAGGGGACAUAGCCAGGACAGCUGACCCAAACCGAUCAAAGGGACAUUCGACACCAUGUGACUUCUGCUCAGGUAUAAAAGCUAAGAAAGAAGAAGGAAGUGGGGGGCAUGUGUUAUUUACAAUGUUUGUCUUCCAGGGCGCAUGUACUGAAGCCCUGUUUCUCAUCACCUACUGAUGGGAAGCAGAGAAUAACAUCUUUUGUUUUUCUUUGUUUCUGCACACACUGCUUUUGCUAUUUCUUCAUUAAACUGCCUUUAUCUUGAUCCACAAGGCUCUUUUCACAUUAUUUUCUCCUCCACCCACCCACUCACCCUGGCCCCCUCCAGCUGAGAAGGGGAGUAGAC